GAUUAGCGCCACCACUGGAACUGAGAACACGUCAGAUCUACGGAGCAGCGGUGGGAAUAUGCCAAUGGGGAAUCUGAUGCAGCAUCGCCGCGUGGAGGAUGACACAUUUCGGUGCGUAACUCCUUUUAUAUGAGAAGAUAAUGACGUAUCAUAUGAUAGCACGGCUAACUCGUGCCAGCAGCCGCGGUAAUACGGAGGGUGCAAGCGUUACUCGGAAUCACUGGGCGUAAAGCGCGCGCAGGCGGCUAUUUAAGUUGGAUGUGAAAGCCUACGGCUCAACCGUAGAACUGCAUCCAAAACUAUUUAGCUAGAGUGUGGGAGAGGAAGAUGGAAUUAGUUGUGUAGGGGUAAAAUCCGUAGAGAUAACUAGGAAUACCAAAAGCGAAGGCAAUCUUCUGGAACACUACUGACGCUGAGGCGCGAAAGCGUGGGGAGCAAACAGGAUUAGAUACCCUGGUAGUCCACGCAGUAAACGAUGAAUGUUAGUCGUCGGGUAGCUAGUCUAUUCGGUGAUGCAGCUAACGCAUUAAACAUUCCGCCUGGGGAGUACGGUCGCAAGAUUAAAACUCAAAGGAAUAGACGGGGACCCGCACAAGUGGUGGAGCAUGUGGUUUAAUUCGAAGAUACGCGAAGAACCUUACCUAGCCUUGACAUAUUAAAGAACACUUUAGAGAUAGAGUGGUGCCUUCGGGAGCUUUUAUACAGGUGCUGCACGGCUGUCGUCAGCUCGUGUCGUGAGAUGUUGGGUUAAGUCCCGCAACGAGCGCAACCCUCGUCACUAGUUACUAACGGUUAGGCCGAGGACUCUAGUGAGACUGCCUUCGCAAGGAGGAGGAAGGUGAGGACGACGUCAAGUCAUCAUGGCCCUUACGGCUAGGGCAACACACGUGCUACAAUGGUUGGGACAAUGAGACGCGAUACCGCGAGGUGGAGCAAAUCUAUAAACCCAAUCUCAGUUCGGAUUGUAGUCUGCAACUCGACUACAUGAAGCUGGAAUCACUAGUAAUCGUAGAUCAGCUAUGCUACGGUGAAUACGUUCCCGGGUCUUGUACUCACCGCCCGUCACACCAUGGGAGUUGAUUUCACCCGAAGCGGGGAAGCUAAACUGGCUACCCUCCACGGUGGAAUCAGCGACUGGGGUGAAGUCGUAACAAGGUA
rnacentral:rRNA from 1 species